CAUGUCCUGCAGGAUGGAGCAAGUUUAGCUGUAACUGUUAUCUCCUCUCUGAAAGCUCUGCUUCCUGGGAUGCAGCCAGAAAGAACUGCAGAGACAGAGGAGCAGAUCUGAUGGUUAUUGACACUCCUGAAGAACAGAUGAUCCUCUCUGUAAUCAUCACAGAAGACGCUUGGAUUGGUUUGAAUGACAAAGAAAAGGAGGGAACAUGGAAAUGGGUAGAUGGAACCCCACUGACUUUCAGGAACUGGAUGGCAAAACAACCGGAUAACGGUGGUGGAGACCCAAACUGGGGUGAAGAGGACUGCGUUCAAGUACAAACUGAUGCAUCGUGGAAUGAUCUUUCAUGUUCAGCCUCUAUAAAAUGGAUCUGUGAAAAACAUACAACAGAAUAAUUCAUUGACCACUGUCUGACAUGUAUUUACUAAUUCAGCUGUGCCUUUUAUUUUAUCCUACAUGUCAUUUUCACUCCAUUUUAACUUCUUCUUUUUUUGUAGCUAAAAAUGUGCAACCUUUUAAAUCUAAAGUUAUGUUUAUGCCAGUGUUACACACUGAAGGACGACAGGGUUCAUUCAGGUGCACAUGAAGAUUUAUUGCGCUGAAACGCAGCAAAACAAUUCAGUGUUACUGGCGGCUUCCAUUGUAAUAACUGGCCUGCGUUACUUUUGUAGCAUUACGUGUAAUGGCCACGUAUUAAUCAGCCCUUAACACACAGAGAAAAUGACCAGUAAACAAAAGACAACAUAACAUGUACUGGCUGGUCUAUUUCCUAUAACUUUAACUGAAACCAGCUAACAGUUUCCUUUCACCUUACUGAUGGAACAACACAGUUACAGAAAUUAAUGCAGGAGGCUAACAUGACUUAGCUAGCGCACAAAUGUUGCUAGCAUUACCCAAAGAUAACGUGAAACAACUCCCUUAUUCGCUCACAUUAAACACCAUAUAAACAAGAAUUACACUCCAAACAUGUUAAAUAAGCAU